AUUGAACGCUGGCGGCAGGCCUAACACAUGCAAGUCGAGCGAGCGGCGGACGGGUGAGUAAUGUCUGGGAAACUGCCUGAUGGAGGGGGAUAACUGCUGGAAACGGUAGCUAAUACCGCAUACAAUCAGAUGUGCCCAGAUGGGCUUAGCUGGUAGGUGGGGUAACGGCUCACCUAGGCGACGAUCCCUAGCUGGUCUGAGAGUAUGACCAGCCACACUGGAACUGAUACACGUUCCAGACGCCGACGGGAGGCAGCAGUGGGGAAUAUUGCACAAUGUGCGCAAGCCUGAUGCAGCCAUGCCGCGUGUGUGAAGAAGGCCUUCGGGUUGGAAAGCACUUUCAGCGGAGAGGCGUGACACUAAGAAGAAGCACCGGCUAACUCCGUGCCAGCAGCCGCGGUAAUAG
rnacentral:rRNA from 1 species